rnacentral:lncRNA from 1 species
UCCUUUGGGGCUGCAUAUUCAGCAACUGAUAGGAGAGGAGUUGGACCAGUUUUUUUUUUUUUUCUCUGAAACAGGGUCUUGCUCUGCCGCCCAGGCUGGAGUGCAGUGCUGCUAUCACAGCUCACUGCAGCCUUGACCUCCCAGGCUCAAGCAGUCUCCCCCCACCUCAGCUGGGAUCACAGAGCUAGCAACAUGGACCACAGAUAUACUGGUGACUCCGCUCUCCUCUGGCCAAGCUACAAAUCAUCACCUGAGGCAGAGAUGCUACUACCCUCUUCUGGGGCUCAACUACCGAUGGGCAUCAGUAAUCCAUCCCAGUAUAACAUUUCAAGGAUGCGCUGGAGACAAUACAUGGACUUUCUCUUUCAAUGGUGAGGAAUGAAACAAGAUACAAGAACCACAGCAUGGAAUAUGUUUUCUUUUACAUCCAAUGGCCAGGUCAUAAAGGAUGCCUUGAGACCUCCACCCUGGCCCCCACAGUGCUUUGGGACAGGAUGACUAACGCAGUCCAGCUUCAUGUGCAAUCAAGUCCCGGGAAGAAAUUUACAUUUCAAACUCUGAAAAAUCAGUGUCUAGGUUGGCAGCAGUACUCUGGAAACUGAUAAAACCAAAUUCGGUCCUAUAUUUCAAUUUCCCCUUCUAAGUUAAUACAUGAUUGCUGCCCAUCAUACAGUACUUCAACCCUAAACUACAGCAAUUUCUGUCAACAUUUCUGUUGUAUAAAAGUUC